GCAUUAAUGGGGUAGUGGUAACCUGGGUCGUUGCCACAUAGGAUUUGAUAAUCUGCAGAUUCGACCCGCCGGGGGUUCGAUUCCCUCUUAAUGCA